AUACGGAGGGGGCUAGCGUUGUUCGGAAUUACUGGGCGUAAAGCGUACGCAGGCUGACCAUUAAGUUAGAGGUGAAAUCCCAGGGCUCAACCCUGGAACUGCCUUUAAAACUGCUGGUCUGGAGUUAUGGAGAGGUAAGUGGAAUUCCUAGUGUAGAGGUGAAAUUCGUAGAUAUUAGGAGGAACACCAGAGGCGAAGGCGGCUUACUGGACAUAUACUGACGCUGAGGUACGAAAGUGUGGGGAGCAAACGGGAUUAGAAACCCUAGUAGUCC
rnacentral:rRNA from 1 species